rnacentral:rRNA from 1 species
CCUACGGGAGGCAGCAGUGGGGAAUCUUGCGCAAUGGGCGAAAGCCUGACGCAGCCAUGCCGCGUGAAUGAUGAAGGUCUUAGGAUUGUAAAAUUCUUUCACCGGGGACGAUAAUGACGGUACCCGGAGAAGAAGCCCCGGCUAACUUCGUGCCAGCAGCCGCGGUAAUACGAAGGGGGCUAGCGUUGCUCGGAAUUACUGGGCGUAAAGGGAGCGUAGGCGGACAUUUAAGUCAGGGGUGAAAUCCCAGAGCUCAACUCUGGAACUGCCUUUGAUACUGGGUGUCUUGAGUGUGAUAGAGGUAUGUGGAACUCCGAGUGUAGAGGUGAAAUUCGUAGAUAUUCGGAAGAACACCAGUGGCGAAGGCGACAUACUGGAUCAUUACUGACGCUGAGGCUCGAAAGCGUGGGGAGCAAACAGGAUUAGAUACCCUGGUAGUCCACGCCGUAAACGAUGAUUGCUAGUUGUUGGGAUGUUUACAUCUCGGUGACGCAGCUAACGCAUUAAGCAAUCCGCCUGGGGAUACGGUCGCAAGAUUAAAACUCAAAUGAAUUGACGG